rnacentral:rRNA from 1 species
CCACAAGGCCUUUACUGACGCUAAAGCUCGAAGGUGCGGGUAUCGAACAGGAUUAGAUACCCUGGUAGUCCGCACGGUAAACGAUGGAUGCCCGCUGUUCGCGAUAUACUGUGAGCGGCCAAGAGAAAUCGUUAAGCAUCCCACCUGGGGAGUACGCCGGCAACGGUGAAACUCAAAGGAAUUGACGGGGGCCCGCACAAGCGGAGGAACAUGUGGUUUAAUUCGAUGAUACGCGAGGAACCUUACCCGGGCUUGAACUGCAGAGGAAUGCGGUGGAGACACCAAAGCCCUUCGGGGCCUCUGUGGAGGUGCUGCAUGGUUGUCGUCAGCUCGUGCCGUGAGGUGUCGGCUUAAGUGCCAUAACGAGCGCAACCCUUUCCGUUAGUUGCCAUCAGGUAGAGCUGGGCACUCUGGCGGUACUGCCACCGUAAGGUGUGAGGAAGGUGGGGAUGACGUCAAAUCAGCACGGCCCUUACGUCCGGGGCUACACACGUGUUACAAUGGGGAGUACAGAGAGUCGGGUGCCGGCAACGUCACCCCAAUCAUUAAAGCUCUCCUCAGUUCGGAUUGGGGUCUGCAACCCGACCCCAUGAAGCUGGA